UGGCACUACUGUGGCCUGUGCCUGCGAUUAUUUCCUGAAUUCAAAGAAACAAGUAAGAAUUCUUUGACAAAAAUAAAAAUAUGGGGAAUAUUUAAGCUCACUUCCAUAAUAAUAAUUGUAAAACCAUAUUAGCGUUUAAUUGUAGAAAACAACAUCAGACAUUAUUUUAACAUUUUAUUCUAACCCCUUUAAUCCAAACCGUUCUUUUAGCACAACCCCAGUACAUAGACAUUAAACAACUCCACUCCAGAACAAGCAUAAUCCAUGAAAUUUGUUCUGCAGAAUUUCCCUAGCCAUUCUGGAGU
rnacentral:misc_RNA from 1 species